UUCUCUGUGUAACGUCCUGAAUGAAUUGUGAGACCUGGAUGAAGGCUGAGACUUUUUGGGCAAAGUCACUGCAUUUACUCCUGCCCUCUGUCUCAGAAGGUACCAAGGACUGGCGAUUCCAAACUCUGGCCAACCAGGUGAAAAAAUAGCCUUUACACGCAAGAAAGAGGAUGCUGAAGUGUGGCUGGUGUUUGUCCGUAAUUUCUGGCUGCCGAUCCCUGUCCUGUCCUUGAGGAAGUCAUUUGGUUCCCCAUCUCCCCCCUGGUCGUUCUGAAUGGACAAAAGGUGGGAAGCAGAUCUGAAGAAAUCAGUCCUGACUUCAGACAGAGGCGAGACAGCCUGUGUUUAAUCUCUGGGACAGGAAAAAAGGAAGGAAAGCCAAGAGAUCUCCUCAUGCUGGGUCUUUAUCCAGCCCCUGGUGAAAAGAAAAAUA